rnacentral:rRNA from 1 species
UGGGGAAUAUUGGACAAUGGGCGGAAGCCUGAUCCAGCCAUGCCGCGUGUGUGAAGAAGGCCUUUUGGUUGUAAAGCACUUUAAGCGAGGAGGAGGCUACUAGUACUAAUACUACUGGAUAGUGGACGUUACUCGCAGAAUAAGCACCGGCUAACUCUGUGCCAGCAGCCGCGGUAAUACAGAGGGUGCGAGCGUUAAUCGGAUUUACUGGGCGUAAAGCGUGCGUAGGCGGCUUUUUAAGUCGGAUGUGAAAUCCCCGAGCUUAACUUGGGAAUUGCAUUCGAUACUGGGAAGCUAGAGUAUGGGAGAGGAUGGUAGAAUUCCAGGUGUAGCGGUGAAAUGCGUAGAGAUCUGGAGGAAUACCGAUGGCGAAGGCAGCCAUCUGGCCUAAUACUGACGCUGAGGUACGAAAGCAUGGGGAGCAAACAGGAUUAGAUACCCUGGUAGUCCAUGCCGUAAACGAUGUCUACUAGCCGUUGGGGCCUUUGAGGCUUUAGUGGCGCAGCUAACGCGAUAAGUAG